CGCCACCUCUACCCCUGCAUACCCGGUCACACGCACGUCUAAGUUCUCUGAGGUCAUUCGGAGAGCGGUAAUUGCUUGCGUUCUUGAAGGUGCGCAUUCUCCGCACCGGACGGCCCAGUCCUCGUUGCCGCCGCGCGCACCGCCAUGAUUGCCCAAGAGCCCCGCAGCAGCCCUUCUCCUGUGCACAUGCGCACGCGCGCGUAUGUCGUUUGAUAUCCCCCACGAUACGUUCUUUCGUCUUUCUCUCGUUCCUCUCGUCGCCGUCGGCGUUGUGCUCCGCGUGCCGCCUCCUUCUCUGGCGAGGUGCCUGCCAGUGCAUCUCUCGGUUUUCCGCGGACGCCUUGCCAGUGCUGCGUCGUGACCGCUGACCUCGCUCUCCUCUAUCGUUCACCACCUCUAGGCACGUCUCCCAUGACGUCGACGAGUGUGGCGUUGAUUGCGAGCGUCCUGCGGCAGCCUCGCGUAGGCGAUGAUCUGCAGUGGGUGCGCUACGAUGCGCCGUUUCGCACGGCGCAGGACUACGCAGCGGCAGAGUAUCUCUAUAGACUGCGCUUGUGCUCGCUGCGGCUGAGGAGUUCGUUGCUGUCGCCGUCUCUGCCUCGCACAGGCCCGGUAAGCGAGGUGGCUCACCUGCUUCCCCACUAUCCUGUCCAGAUAACCGCCCAACUCGUCUACAUGGAUGAGCCGCUGAGCCCUGUCGUUGAAUCGGCAGCCGUGUACGCGUCUGCCGCGGCCCUGCUGCCGCCCGCAUCCCCUGUCGGCGGCGACACGGACACGCACGCAGAGAUGGAGGUGGUCUACACGUUUACCGAUGAGUGGCUUGUCUUUCCGCUAGAGCUGUGUGAUGUACCGCUCGAUGCAAGCUGCAAGCUGCACCUCUGGCACAGGGACACGCACGUCGCGGAGGCCGCCUUUCACGUCUACUCCGUGGCAGGAGAGUUGUGCGUUGGCCAGCGGCAGCUGGCGCUGAGCACGGGCGGUGACGCUCCGAGUGAUGAGCAGUUGUGGAGCACCUCUACGCGUGCCGCGGAGCUCCUGGCUGACUUUCACCGCGGCAUGAUGCCACCCAUCCCAUGGCUGGAUACGCUGUCCAUACAGCAACUGGAGGCUGAACAUGCACGGCAUGGCAACGCCGUUGUCCGCAAAGGAAGCCCACAGUCGGCCAAAGACCCCUGCGGCGCACCAACAGCAAUUUUGACGCUGUACCUUCCAGCGGCCACCACCGCCGUCUUUUUCGAGCCUGGCGUUGCGCGCGUGUCGGACGACAUGAAAAGCCUGCUACAGCACAGCGACGCUGCAGACGACUCCUGUGACUUCACUCAGCGUCCUUUUCCUGAUCAGUACACCUUCUUCAAGGAGCACAACCUCUGCGAGGCGAAGGCGGCCAUCACGUCCAAGACACAGUACUUUCUGUCCGACAGCAGUGCCCCUCCCGGGCCGAAGGAGCGCCACCAGCUGGCGAGCCUUUUGCGGCGUCCGCCCAUUCAACUGGACAACGUCGCCGGUGCCGUGGUGACGGGUGCCGGCGCCGGAGGGGUCGGCGGUGGGCGGCUGGAGGAGACGCGCUUACUGUGGAAGUACCGUCACUUCAUAUGUCGCGACGGCAAAUACUUCCUGCCCUUCAUGCGGUGCGUCGACUGGGCGAACACCCACUCCAGCGAGCGGCGCGCCGCCUGCGCCCUCAUCUAUCAGUGGGCGAGGCCGGCCUUCGAGGAUGUGUUGGCGUGCCUCAGCUUCUACUUUGACCAUGUGGCGCCGGUGCGCCAGUACGCCGUGCGCCUGUUGCGCAGGGAAGGCGAUGGGCGACUGUGUCAACUCGCCUUCCAGCUUGUGCAGGCAGUGCGGUACGACUCGGCGGAGGCGGAGCUGGCAAACUUCUUGGUGGAGCGCGCCGUGGGGUGCUGGGAGCUGUGCAGCACCCUCUACACCCUGCUCUCGGUGGAGGUGGCUCUGGAGAAGCGUCGCACCUUGAGUGCUGCGGGAAAGGCGAGCGAUGACAGGCAUGGCGGCAGGGCCCUCUUCGAGCCACUGUUGCGUCGCUUGUCGGAGCGGUUGACACAGCAGUGCCCGCACUUCGCCACACGUCUCCGCCAGCAGCACGCAAUGCACCGGGUGCUGCAGCUGCUCAGCCGCCAGCUGCAGCAGAGCUCACUAGAUCGCCUGGGGAAGACGGCGCUGGGCAACAAGUUGAUCGCAAAGCAGGCGUGCGGCCUGCGCGCCCUCUUCUCCUCUGUGCACCACGGCAUGCCGUCCAGGAGAAACGUGAAUGGGAGCUUCAGCAGCAGCCUGAUGACGCACUCCUCGGCGGGUAUGCGGGAGGAGCACUCGAUGAGCUCUGCCCGCACCGGCGACGGCAGCGAGGAGGCCGACGCGAACGGAGGCGACGGGAGCAGUGCUGUCGAGGCAAGCGACGUGGACAGCGCCGCCGAUGACGAAGUGCGGCGUUUGCGCUUUCCGCCCCUGUCACCACAGUCACAAGGAAGUGCGCCACGGUCUCCUCCGUCUCAGAGCGGAGCCAAGCAGCAGUACCGCAGCCGCCACGCCUCAGCCGUUGACGUGCUGGACCGCUACGGCGUCGCGACGCUCGCGACACACCCCGGCAUCCCCAUCACGGGGCUCCUUUCCGAUUCGCUGUACAUCUUCAAGAGCGCCAAGCUGCCGAUGCGCCUGACUUUCACGGCCCUGCGGCCAGCGGGUCUCGCGUGGGGCGGUGGGCGAGGGGGCGAGCCGCUCUACGGUGCUUCGCCGUCUCCCUGCUUGCUGACACCGCUCGCGAUGCAGCCCGCACCGUCCCAGCAGCGCAGCGGUGGACUGCAAGGGAUGAACAGCAGUGGCGGCGGUGCCAGCGCAGCCGUUGCGGCGGAGGAACAGGCAGAAGGCUUUCUCGGAGCCGGGGAAGGCGACACAGUGCCGCUGGCCAUGAUGUACAAGUACAACGACGACAUCCGGCAGGACCAGCUCAUUGUCCAGCUUAUCCGCCUUAUGGACGACCUCCUACAGCGAGAUGGACUGCAACUCUACUUGACACCGUAUCGCGUGAUUGCCACCGCCCCGAACGAGGGUCUUGUCGAAAUUGUGCCGCAGGUGACGACGUUUUUCAGCGUGCAGCGCGACGUGCUGAAGUACCUGCGGGUGUACAACAGCACGGCGGAGCUGCUGCGGCAGGCGAUGGACCGCUACACUCGCAGCUUCGCCGGCUACUGCGUCAUCACCUUCGUCCUUGGCAUCGGCGACCGCCACUUGGAGAACAUCCUCAUCACACAGGACGGCCGACUGCUGCACAUCGACUUCGGCUACGUGCUCGGCAACGACCCGAAGCCCUUCCCGCCGCCCAUGAAGAUCAACCGUGAGAUGGUGGAGGUGCUUGGUGGGCCGCAGAGCACCGGCUUCACUGAGUUCAAGCUGUACUGCUGCAGCGCCUACAACACGCUACGCAAGCACGCCCCGCUGCUGCUUCACAUACUGCUGCUCGGCGCUCACACUGAGGGUAUGCCACAAGUAACCGGGGAGGGUGGCGACCCUCGCGUGAACCUGCUGAAGGUACAGGAAAAGCUGCGGCUUGACCUGACCAACGCCCAGGCGACGCAGUACCUGCAGAACGUGAUCGCCGACAGCGUUGGCUCUAUAUUUACGAACCUCUGGGACGUCCUGCACGCCGCUGCGCAGGCUACCCGUGGUUAACUGCGGUGCCCUCGGCGCCCUAUCGGUGUAUCUGUCCCCCUGCUGUGUGAUGAGCGAGCUUGCAGAGGCACGGCGACACUCCG
rnacentral:misc_RNA from 1 species